AGGCAAUGUCCGUUUGAACCGGGGCUGGCGUUUUACUCCAGGCCCAGGCUCGGCGCGGGCCCGGGGCCGGGCCUGAAGACUACCCCCAAAAAAGAUCGGGGAAAAGAGCCAGUACUUUUCAAAUCAAAGAGAGCGGGAGCGCGGUAACAGACCUGCUGGUGGAAGCGGCUGAGCGCGUUGAGCAGGGUGUGCAGGCUCUGGGCCAUCUCCUUGUCGGCAGCCCCUGGUUCUACCUCCGCCGCCAUGACCAAAGCGAAAGGCGAGCAGGAGCAGCUAACAGAAAGCGCUGGAGCUGAGUGUUUUCGGCGAUUCUUGUUUCUAUUGCAGCAAUUUCUAUACUUGCAUCUCCUCCGCCAGUAACUUGGUUCUAAGUCAGCGUUUAACCAGUAAAUGUUCCAUUCACCGAAGUGUUAUCGCACGCAAUUUUAAAAUCAGCCAGAUGCUGCCAGACCUACCGAGAUUCUACGGCAAUUUCUAUUUUUGUUUCAACUUUGUUUGACUGCUACCAUAUGACAGUGGUGCAGAGAAAUGUAAUAACCUGCCUGAUGCAAUCCAAGAGAUUGAUCACAUACUGCAAGGAUUGUAUUGGAACCUGGCCAUUGUUAUGAAGAUGAGUUCCCAUUCAGGAGGGAAAUCAAUAAUUUGAACAGUUGUCCAUCUGGAUUUAGGCACAUAAUUGGGGUGGAGUGGCAGAAUAUAAGGGCAAUAAAGUUACCUUCAGACCAAUGUUAUCCAUUUGUGCUAGCUACAGAAGGGAUUACCAUUCAUGAGACUGCCCCAAAAUACACAACAUAUGAUGUUCAUUCGAGAAGUGAAAUACGCUCCAGACACAGUUGACAUCCUGAGAGGGAGGAAUGCCUAUGAGGAGUACUUACUUCUGGCAUUGGGGGCUGAAUUUUCAUAGUGCAGCCAAGGCAGGAUAAAAGAAAGA